CGCGCGCCGAAGCCCAUGAUGAGGAGUCGAAAACUCCGCGUCGAGUCCGAGUCAGUGGGGGAAAUGCGCUCGAGCGCGGUGUGGCGUCGCUCCCGGCGUGCGCUGCAGUCACGGAUCUGAGCCGCGGCAGCCCCGGAACGGCAAACAGGCAUUAAUCACUUCUUGGGAGAGAAUCGUCUGAGGAAGGGCGUUCGAAGGCGGCCACGCGGCGGCACACAGGACCAGGAGAUAGAUGCUGCAGGGGGCGUUAUGGACCGGGCCGCGUGAGGACCCCCCGCGGGACCUGCACAGCACCAGCUGAUGGGGUCAGCGUGUCCACCUUGGGCCCUCAUUGUGCCGCGACGUCUCCACCGGGGAGGAAGACGAGGGAGAUUAACUGCGUUUCCUGCUGAGAGCUUUGAUGUCGAGUCCGGGGGGAAACGCCGCUCAGUCACAUUUCCCCUUCAUCUGCUCCGUGUCAUUCAACGUGUACUACCUCCAAAGUCAGAAAGCCCUUCAUCCCGUUCCCGCCUGCGUUCAGAGACGUUUGUCGCGUUGUGACCUCCGCCCGGUGUGGUCUCCUGCUUCAGGUGACACAAAGGGACAAAGGGGAAAAAAACGAAGAGCGGAGAUUCUGCAGACGAGACUGCGCACGUCGCUGCUAAACUGUAAUAACACAAUGUAUGACACAAUAUACUGGACACGCCCCCACAUCCAGUGACUGAGACCACAGGACCCGAUCCUUCAAACCUCACCAUCACCGUCUCAUUUAACUUUCUAUUAAUUAUGAUUUAAAGAAUGUGCAGAAGUAUUGCUGGAAAACCGCCGGCGUCUCCUGCAGCUGGAGUCGGCUCGCGAACCGUCAGCAUGAUUGACAAGCGAGGCACUGCAUGAAUUUUAAACCCUGCAGGAACAUAUGGGAGCGGCAACACAAACAGGUACACAACUCCAGUAAUAGGACUCAAAAGUAGGCAAUUAACAGCUCUGAAUGUAAAUCCGCCGGACGCGCUGUUCUCCCACUCUUUCCACCCCGUGGAGAGACGCCGGCGGAGUGAUGGGAUGCACCCCCCCCACCAGAACACACACACACACACACACACACACACACACACACACACACACACACACACACCCCGCCUCAUUUGUCCAGUCCUCCUGCUCAGUCACCGGGGACCGGUGGGAGAGAACAAACAUGCUUCAUGCACCCUUUGCAUUCAAUUAUGGGUCAUGUUUAAAUCUCCCGACCCUAAAAGAAGAACAGGCGAAAUCCGGGGCGGCGGCCGACGAAGGCAAACGCAUCAGAGCACAUCCGGCUCCUUCAAACAUGCAGCUCACUUCCAUGUUUCUUAAAAGCGUGUUUAAUAGAGCACCGGUGUGCUCUCACAGUAAAUAUCAACAGGCCUUUAAAAAUGUUGCACAAUUAUUUUAUUUUUUAACAAUCUGUUCGAUAUCACUUUGAAACUGCAGCCUCUGGUCAGAGAUGUCAUUUUUUUAAGCCACUCCAGAUUGGACAGAGUUGACGGACUAUGAUUUACCAGAUGGCACAUUGUGUGUUCUUGUUUCUUGGCAGUCUGACCCUACUGAAUAUUGAAAUGAGACCAGCUUGGAUUUUUUUUUUUUUUUGGGGGGGGGGUGACAUUUCUUGGAGUGACUUGUUUUGCUUAUCUGUCAUCUUCUGCAUUUGACUGGAUGUGCAGCCGCUGCUGGUCAAGCGCUCUUUGCUCAGCGCACUUAAACACGGCAAUCAAACACUUCAAAUCAUUCAUCUUCAUAGUGAUUAAAGAAGCAAUCAUCGUGCCCCUCUGGUGCAACAGAUGUGGGAGCACAAUAACUCUCUUUACAUCUGGCUUGAAGGCCUGCUUGAGGUUUUCCAUGCACUAACCUAAUGGUCCUGAGUGCAGGUCGUGCCUUUUCAUCAUGGGCCCCGGACCCUUUCAUUAACCUCCUCCAGCAGCGCAGGAGACACCGGGCAGCUGGACCGCGUUUGGGCACGGAUCGGGAACGGCUCGGCGUUUCGGCUGCUGACGGGCGCUCGGAUGCGGAGGAGGAAGCGCUCCCCGGAAUAACGCGCUCGCCGUCGCCGCACCGCAGCUGGUCCAGCCGCUGCACGCGCCUCCUCUGCCGUGAAUGGGAAGAGGGAGCAGACGUGCGCUGCAGCAGGCCGUCUCGUUAACAGCGGUGAUUCAGCGCGUGCUGCUGGUGGCAGGCGCAGGUUUGAUUGUUUAUGAGAUGUUCUCAGGGGGAAGGACGGCAGUGGCAGGGCUGCCACCUUCAGGUUUUACAGAUGUACUUAAAUUGGUUCUGUCGUGUCUGGGUUGGGGGAAAAAAAGAGCGUGAGAUGACAGGAAAUGUUGGAAAACCAGUGAAAUCCUGAUUAUGAGCUGUGAUUUACAGCAUUUUGAGGAAAACAGAAGAGAAUAUGUUUAUUGCUGCCUGAAUGAUAUUAAUAUCACAACACUGACUGUCCUUGUUAUAGCUCAUCAUGAACAAUAGGAGGAACCCCCCUGCUCCAUACUGUACCUGCCUCAGCGAGGGCUGCUGGGAAAAGAGCGGCCGUAUGUCACCGAGACCAGAAUUUAUGGAAGUAUUAAACAUUAAAUGCUCGGACGCGGUUGUGAUUUCACGACAGGGAAAUGGGAUAGUUAAUAUCUGUCUCUGGCGAGCAGCUUCCUACAGUAGCUCGAGACGAGCCACAAUUAGGUCAAAGCGGCCGGCGCGGUAACGGAAGGGCACCAGGCAGUUGGGGGACUUUUUCUUCUCCGGGACGGCUGAAACGCGGCAUUAAUCACAAUAACGCGGCAGCGGCGGUGGCAGAAACAGUCCAUGACGCCUCCUCUGCAUAAUGUCCUGAAGUGAAUACUGCUAAUUUAUGUAGUGCCACCAGGGCUGUAGAGUGGAGCCUUUUGAAGAUGCUUAUUGCUCUAUAGCUCAGACAGCAGAUAUAUAUACGUGGCUGACUGCAUGCUAACUUUACUGGCUUCUUCCCUGCACUAGUUUUAUACUCUAUCUGCAUAUACUUUGAUGAAGUCUGCAGUGCAGCAGCUGAAGUGUGAAGGCUCUGACUUGUUGUGGAUCACAUUUCCACCAAACCGUAAGAAGAUAUCUAAUGAAACGCGAGACGCGGCGAUGUAUAAUAACUUCAAGAUGGAGACAGAGGCGCCCAACUUCCUUUCUGUACUGCGCUGCAGCAAAUCCCCUUCCUGCUAUUUAUCACCAUGUCAUUUGUGUUUACUUGCUCCCUGCUCAGUCCCCAGAUUCUUGUUAUUCAGAUGUUAAUGAGCAAGGCAGAACUCAGCUGUUUUUCUUUAUGGUGACAUGCUUUAGCUUAAUUAAAUGCUUGAAACAUAUAAAGCACUAUAGCCAUUUAUGUCAAGGACACAUGCAAAUUAAAUAUUUAAAAACCUAUAUGAACAAGGGAUUCACGCAGGUUUGCCCAUUAAAAUGCACUAAUAAUAGUAAAAGUAAAUUCAUUUGAAUUUAGGGUUAAUUGUUGCUUCUCCGCAUUCAACAUCACAUGGGUCUGUUGUAAACCAUGGGACCACAGAAAUACAAGAUGAUGCAGAUUAAAAUACCGGAUUCAGUUACACUUCUUCUCUACGUCUGUGUUACAGUAUCUACUGCAUCAGAUCUGCUGAAGCAGCAAAGUGCCUCUCUGCGCCUGCCAUCCAGUGAGCAGACGGACAGCCUGAUAUAGGAAUCAGCAACCGAGAGAGAGUCAAUUAGCGGCCCGUGCAUUUGAAUGGCAGCAGGGACGGAGCAGGAGUAAAGCGAAUGCAGGAGCGGGGACGGAAAUAUUCCCUGGGAAACUGUCAGCGAGGAGGAAACAAUGGCAAUCAGAUGGAGCUCAUCUCUUCUGCUUCUUCUAAUCAGUGUCAGGAGUCUUAUGCAGCUGUGUCCACGUCUACACACACACACACACACACACACACACACACACACACACACACACACACAGGUAUGAUAAGUUCAACAAAUCAGGGACUGAUCUCAUUGUAACAUGUUACUUCCAGGAAAAGGAGAAGUGAAACAAAGCUGAAUAGAAGUUGAAAGAUGCUGCACACGUGAGAUUUUUAUUAAGAAACCAUAUUAAAGCAUUCGGCCUCCUCUCUGAUUGCGCCUCCGCGUUCGGAGCAACUCGUUUUUUCGAACUGGAACUAGGUUUGUUUCUCUUUGGUGACAAAUCGCCCAACGGCUGUCACAUGAGUCACCGUGAUGAGCUGCCCACCCGCGCUCUAUAAAAGCAUUCACUGCUCAAUAACUCUCUGUAAUAGAUGGAAAAAAUCAAUACUAGCAAAUACAAAUAGUCGAUCUCUCCCAACCACACACGCACAUAAACACAACACAAGAAAACUUUAGUCCAUUCACCGGUAAAAGCUUUAAGAACUACAGUGGUGAUAAAUUAUUACCUGUGUUUAUGCUACUGAAAACUUUGAAAUGAUGAUGAGAAACUGCGUCGUGACACAGUGAGACUAUAGAAACCUGUUUUCAUGAAGAAUCAGGAGACUCAAAGCUGACGUUUUAGCUUCUGCUCGUCUUCAUCAGCAGUUUGCAAUAAACUUCUGUAAAUGUAACAAA